GCAGGUAUUGCAUUAAAGUGAGGAGGCACUGAGAGUUACAAAACAUAUAGGGCUUCAAAACCCUUGGCAGGGAUAAUACAGCAUGCGGAUGUACAAUGUAAGUCAUUCUGUACUGCAAGCCAAUCCCUUUAUUAACAAGGGAUUAUAAUCACAGCAUUUGGUAUCAUUUACACACGUACAACUCAUGUAUUAACUCCUAUAUAUACAAAACUCAAUUCGACAAUCCGCUCCCGCAGAGCACUUUGUCAACGUUUCUACAUACAAGAAUGUGAAUACGUCAGACUUAAAUAUCCCAAGGUGUCCUGGAUGACUGCAGGGCACGGCCAUUCACAAGAGCCCAGAGGAAUGUGGUUUCUUCCUUUACCCACAACUCGGCAAUCUUUGCCCUUCUGCCAGCAGCCUGUACGGCCACGCAGACUACAGGGAAAUGUAAGGCCUGAGAAGGGACCAGUGUGAAACCAAAACAAUAUUCUGAUGCUUUUGUAAGACUGAAAGGCCCACUCCUUUAAACAUUUGCAGAUUUGGUAAUGAAAUGAUCUCCCACUAAUCCUAUCAGUCCUGUGUAUGUGCGGUAGCUCAGCUUGUUUAUGCUUUACUUCAUACUCGGCUAUCUGUUUUAUAAGAAGAUGCCUUUAGGAGUACUCACUGUAGGUGCUUACAAACACUCCUUUAUGUGGAAAAUAACAAACCCAAACAAUGGAAUCAUUUUAAUGGACUUAAGGUACACAAUAGUUUGAAAGAAAAUAAAUAAUGUGUUACAGAAGCACAGGAAGUAAUUAUUCAGAUAAUGUGCAGAACAAUCUAUGGGACAUUAAAUAAAAAUAAGCAUUUCAGCUUCCUUCUAAAUACCUUCUUUCUAAUCUCCUGAUAGGUAAGACAAAUUUGCCCUUGCCAUAAAUUCUACACGCCCUAAUACAAAGCUUGGCAGGCUUAUCAGUAUUUAAUUUCCGUCCUUCAUUCUUAAAGUUUCAUUUAACAUUGGCAGAAAUGAGCUAGAAUAGCUCAAAUUAAGUCAAGAGCAACCAUGAUUAUGAAUGGGCGUCUACCAGACUCUGCUCCAAAUACUCCUGGAAAUAAGAGGGAUUCCUUCUCCAAAGCAUUACUGCUCCUCAGACCAACAUCUGCCUUUUCAGACAGACCACACAUAUACGGCACGCAACCCAUGACAGGGAUUGCAAACAUGAUGUACUUUUUAAGGUGUAGUCUAACCUACAACACCGUAAGGUUGUUCAAUUUUGUGCAAAUAAUGAGCCUCAUCUUCACAUCCCUAAAUAAUUUCCAAUGCACGUUUUCAACAGCAAUGGAGAAGGACGUGGCACAAAUAACUUCAGAACUGAACCAGACAUCCCUCCUCAGGGUGAUGCACAUUGGAGCUCACAGAAUGCUGCCUCGCAGCUGAACAUCAGGAAUUUUGCAGCGUGACAGUAAAGUUUUACAGCGAAAGAACAGUGCGGGAUGGAGAGAUGCCCUUAGGUAACCCGAGGGCUUUACAGGUGCCUCUCACUUCCAGCUCAGCUUUUCCAGUCCAACACAGCUUCAUCAAGAAUUCAAAAACACUUCCAUGUGCAGUGAGUCACUCUGCUGCCCUGCUUUGCUCAUGCCUGCAGUCACUGUGGGUGACAUUUCCCUACUACUGUGAUGAAAGCACCCAAAUCUAAGUGCUGGACACCUGCACUGUCAAAUGCUUCUCACAAAGCAAAGAUUUUAUUAUUUGGGGUUUGUUCUGAAAUUAGAAGUAAAUUCUUUCUAAUGUGACUCUUUACUUCCAUGUAGCAGAAAUGCUAAAUCGUGGCCUGAAGCAGUGAUUGAGCACCUGGUGGGAAGGCAGGGCCAACCCAAGGAGCUCAGGUGUAUGCAAUGUACCUGAGUGACUGGAAGGGGUGGAGCCAGGAUUCAUCCCUUCCCAGACCUCUUUUAAGGGUUGGCAGUGGAAGCAAGGGGAUCUUGCUGAAGAUUCCUGUAUUCUGGAGGUCUUCUAAGGGUAAGCAGCUUCUUUCCUUUAUUUCUGUGCCUAUAGCUGCAGUAAUUGGGCUUAUCCCUACUUGCUGCAGCCUAGUACUUUUGCUUCUUCACUGUCAUUGCUAUGCUUUCCAUUGCCAUUCCAGAAUGGCCCCAAAUGAGUGAUUUGAUGCUGCUAAGGGAAAUGCCUUACAAAGGGAAAGAAAAGAACAUUAUCACGAAAGCGGCAGGAUCCCUAAAAACUAGCUGAGCUAUACAACUGCACAGCAUAGCUGUGUGCUCAGAAAUGCUCUCCUUUUCAUCACACAGAACCACUUGCUGCUCUGCCCUUCCAAACAACGCUCAUAUAUUUGGUGCAGGAAGGGUGGAAGGCACUGUUACUACUUUCAAUUUCUCCCAUUCUCACUUUUUCAACACAACUGCAGGAAUGGAGCUGGAUCACGUUUUCAUUUGAGAUCCAUUAAAAGAAUGGCAAUCAGGCUGCAGCUGCACUGCUAAAAAUCUGUUUUAAUUAUAAACAACAAUAAAAAUCCAAGAACACAAAUAGGCUCCAGACACACGAGCCAGUAGAAAAAUCGCAUUGUGGAGCCUUUAAGCGGUGACAGUGCCUGAACUGCACCAAUGCCUGAACACCAGGAAAAUCCAUGCCUUCACCUACAAAUAAAAUGACUUGGGACAGAAAGACACGCAGUGGUUUGGCUCAGAUGCCUCACACACACUGACCAUGCAGUGACUUUCAAAGACAGAAGUAUGUCCUCUGGAGCACGUUCUUAAGUGAGGUUAACAGCAUAAGGUCAGCCAUGCAAAAGGGAUUGAGCAGAACGUUCUCACUCUUUACCUGAGUAAAAUGCAGGCAAUGACCGGGGCACUGGAAGAAGUGCUCAAAUGCUGGGCUGAAGAAAAGAUGCCUCGCAGGAAAAGCAGUCUCUCUAAUGGCAUAAGGACAGAACUCCAUUACCCUCCUUCUAAAGUGUAUAACAGUUCCUAUCUGGCUAGGAAAUACCCAGGCCUUUGAAAAAUCCAGCUGCUGCCUUCAGCUUUCUGACUGACUUCAGCUGUCAAUUCCUCCUCCUGAUGGUGCAGAUCGCUACUUCUGUUUAUUCUUCUUAGAUUUACUUGUCCCUGUAUCUACAAGCAAAGCUCUUUUCAAAGCUAUUCUUCCUUAACCUGUGGUGCAGAGGGGAGGAAUAGCAGCAUGCUCAACUUGACCUCUGUGCGCUCAUGCAUGCACACACAACAAUUUGUUGUCAACAGAUCAUGAAGCUCUUCUCAAAGUACUGACUGUAGAACAGUGCCCAUGAGGAAAGGACCCUUCUUUGCUCUGGUUUCUGAUGACUCUGCAGUAGGGGCCAGCCAGCAGGUUAAUGGGAUAGAGAGACAGAAACCUUGGCUCUGGUAUGACUUUGUGACAGGCUUACUAUGUGACAUUGAAAAAGUUACUUUUCAUUUGUUUUCCCUCCAUGCUUUGUCUGUUGAAAGCUGUGUUCUCUUUGGGACACCAUCCUCUUCCAGCAUGUUUAUCUCUUGUCUCUUUUCUGCUCUGGGAGCCCUACCUGCACUUUCAAAGCAGUUAUUAUUCCCAACAACCCAAAGCUCCUGAAUUCCUUGCCAGGGAAAGAGAGGAAGGUGGCUUCUCAUCUACUUGAUAAAUGAGUUUAAUACUGCACACGCUUGAAAUUCAAUUUGUACACCAAUAUGCAUAUCUCAGAAGGCAAUGAGUAUUUACAAUAUUCAUAUUGUGAUCCACAAAAUUGACUCAGUAACUUAAUUCUCUGCCAAAAAGCACUGGGUGAAGCCAUCAGAAGAGUAGCCUUAGUUUUUACCAAAUACAUUGGCCAAGUAUACAGCUUUGAUUCUGCCAAAAUAUUUCAUAUUCCUUGGCUCCAAGAAAGACAAGGCACAGGGAAGACCCUGAGAAUGCAGAGGUUUCACUUUGUUUUGCUAAGUGUAGCUCUUUCUUGCUCCUACAGGAGAGAGAAAAGGAGAAAGCAUCUCUUCUGAAGGCGGUGGCUUUCCUCCAUUCCCUCUCUCUCAUUUGCCUCAAACAGCCAUGAGAGUUCUGCUGCCCUUUCCUGCCCUGGCCACCAUCUUAAGAGAUGCAGAUAAACUCAACAGCAACUGCUGCUGACUGCAGAAGAUGAAGUCUGAUGUGAAACCUGGACCUUGCUCAAGCCAAAUAUUUGAGCACUCUGCAUUAGAGCAAACAGGAUGAGAAGCAGAGGUAACUGUGACAUACCGGCUUUACAUAGUAGAGUAAACUGGCGAAUGUCAAAAUCUUCUGGCUUCCGCUCUGUGUCCCCUGUCCUUCAAGGAAGGUGAAGUGUAUCACUCAAGCAAUCCUGCAUACAGCGAGAUCAUCACGGCGAAAGAUGAGAGAACUGGAACAUUCUCCAAUCUACUGUGGCUGCAUGUGCAGA
ensembl:lncRNA